UACGGAGGAUCCAAGCGUUAUCCGGAUUUAUUGGGUUUAAAGGGUGCGUAGGCGGUUUGAUAAGUUAGAGGUGAAAUCCCGGGGCUCAACUUCGGAACUGCCUCUGAUACUGUCAGGCUAGAGAUUGGUUGCUGUGGGCGGAAUGUGUAGUGUAGCGGUGAAAUGCUUAGAGAUUACACAGAACACCGAUUGCGAAGGCAGCUCACAAAGCCAUAUCUGACGCUGAGGCACGAAAGCGUGGGGAGCAAACAGG
rnacentral:rRNA from 1 species